rnacentral:rRNA from 1 species
AGCGAACGCUGGCGGCAGGCUUAACACAUGCAAGUCGAGCGGGCAUCCUUGUGGUGUCAGCGGCAGACGGGUGAGUAACGCCUGGGAACGUGCCCUUCGGUUCGGAAUAACUCAGGGAAACUUGAGCUAAUACCGGAUACGUGCGAGAGCAGAAAGGUUUAUCUGCCGAAGGAUCGGCCCGCGUCUGAUUAGCUAGUUGGUGAGGUUACGGCUCACCAAGGCGACGAUCAGUAGCUGGUCUGAGAGGAUGAUCAGCCACACUGGGACUGAGACACGGCCCAGACUCCUACGGGAGGCAGCAGUGGGGAAUAUUGGACAAUGGGGGCAACCCUGAUCCAGCCAUGCCGCGUGAGUGAUGACGGCCUUAGGGUUGUAAAGCUCUUUUCUCCGGGACGAUAAUGACGGUACCGGAGGAAUAAGCCCCGGCUAACUUCGUG